CGUCAAAUCAUCAUGCCCUAUAUGACCUGGGCUACACACGUGCUACAAUGGGGUGAACAACGGGAAGCGAGCAAGCGAUUGUGAGCGGAUCCCUAAAAACACCUCUCAGUUCGGAUUGCAGGCUGCAACUCGCCUGCAUGAAGUCGGAAUUGCUAGUAAUCGCGGAUCAGCAAGCCGCGGUGAAUACGUUCCCGGGCCUU
rnacentral:rRNA from 1 species